rnacentral:rRNA from 1 species
UACGGGGGGAGCAAGCGUUGUUCGGAUUUACUGGGCGUAAAGGGCGCGUAGGCGGCGUGACAAGUCACUUGUGAAAUCUCCGGGCUUAACCCGGAGCGGUCAAGUGAUACUGUCGUGCUAGAGUGCGGAAGGGGCUACUGGAAUUCUCGGUGUAGCGGUGAAAUGCGUAGAUAUUGGGAGGAACACCAGUGGCGAAGGCGGCUCACUGGACCGGAACUGACGCUGAGGCGCGAAAGCGUGGGGAGCAAACGGG